rnacentral:lncRNA from 1 species
AAGUCAAGUGUCAGGUCCUCAAGCUAGGUACGACCGACAACCCAAGUACUUGAAUGUUAUGUACAAGAACGUACACCCCAGUUUGCAUUCCAGUUUGUUAUGAAAAUGUUUCAAAAAAGGGACUUGAAGUUGGAUUAAGUGUUUGAGUUUAUUAUGGAAAAUGUGUGUGAAAAAUGUAUGUGAGAGAUAGAAUGAGAUUGAGAAGCGA